rnacentral:misc_RNA from 1 species
GGGUUUUCAGGUCUUUCUUAUCAAUCUCUAAUCAUAUCUUUAUCUCACUUUUGAUCUUCUUUACUCUCUUUAGAAUGGCACAAGCAGGGCAAAGUUCAGCUCCUUCUUCUUCAGUUGGUAGGGAUUCUGGAGCUACUGCCUCUCCUUCUUUUUAUUCUUCCGUCAAUGGAGAAUCUUCUGGCGCUGCGUCAUCGUCUUAUUCUGGUGCUCGCGAAGAAGUGCACCAAUUUGGAGACUUAGAGUCGGAGCAGCAACACAUU